UACAGAGGGUGCGAGCGUUAAUCGGAAUUACUGGGCGUAAAGCGUGCGUAGGUGGUUUGUUAAGUCAGGUGUGAAAUCCUUGGGCUCAACCUGAGAAUUGCAUUUGAUACUGGCGGACUAGAGUGUGGUAGAGGGUAGUGGAACUCCCGGUGUAGCGGUGAAAUGCGUAGAUAUCGGGAAGAACACCAGUGGCGAAGGCGGCUACCUGGACCAACACUGACACUGAGGCACGAAAGCGUGGGGAGCAAACAGG
rnacentral:rRNA from 1 species